GACGAACGCUGGCGGCGUGCUUAACACAUGCAAGUCGAACGAAGAGCGAUGGAAGCUUGCUUCUAUCAAUCUUAGUGGCGAACGGGUGAGUAACGCGUAAUCAACCUGCCCUUCAGAGGGGGACAACAGUUGGAAACGACUGCUAAUACCGCAUACGAUCUGACCUCGGCAUCGGGGAUGGAUGAAAGGUGGCCUCUAUUUAUAAGCUAUCACUGAAGGAGGGGAUUGCGUCUGAUUAGCUAGUUGGAGGGGUAACAGCCCACCAAGGCGAUGAUCAGUAGCCGGUCUGAGAGGAUGAACGGCCACAUUGGGACUGAGACACGGCCCAGACUCCUACGGGAGGCAGCAGUGGGGAAUCUUCCGCAAUGGACGAAAGUCUGACGGAGCAACGCCGCGUGAGUGAUGACGGCCUUCGGGUUGUAAAGCUCUGUUAAUCGGGACGAAAGGCCUUCUUGCGAACAGUUAGAAGGAUGGACGUACCGGAAUAGAAGCC
rnacentral:rRNA from 1 species